AAUUGAGGUUUUGAAUGGAAGAUGGCCGUUGUAGUUAAUUUCGCAACUAUCUAGGAUCACGUUGUUUCAGAUUUCUAUGAAUUGGCUGAAAGAAUUUUAGGCAGUGUUUAUUGAUAAAAGUUGGUAGCUAAUGGUCCGCUUAAGUGUGUAAGCUUUUAAUUCGCUAAAGCAUUUUUCUUUCAAUAGGGAAGGAGUGCAACGCUUGAUUUUUUAAAUCCUAAAGGCCCAAAAGGCAAAACCUUUCACUUUUUAUUCAGCGUUUAACGUGGCAGAUUUCUAGUUGGGUUUGUUUUUCCUACAUGUCAGCACAUCCUUAAUUGUAGGGCUUUACUUCCUCUCAGACAUGUCAACACAUCCUUAAUUGUAGGGCCUUACUUUCUCUCAGCUUUUACUAUUAUAUAUAUGAUAUGAUUUUUAGUUUGUCAGCCUGCAAUGCAUUUCUUGGCAUUGGUUUAUUGAAGGAGUAGAUAGAUUUACAUUUUCUUCUUCAUUUGACUACUGGAGGUUUAAGUAUUAGAUUAAGGUAUUUUUUGAAUUCCUAUUCACUGGGUGACAUUGGAUUUUGAUCAUGCUUCUUGUUGGUAUUGGAUAGGUAGAUUCCUCUUAUUGAUGUGGUGAUGCCAAUGCUUUUGUUGCCAAGGGAGAAUUAUAUAGUUUAUCGGUUUGUCCUGUAAUUGCCAUUAGUUGGGGUUUUCUGUAAAUGAAAUGCUUUUAACUUACGUAUUUGAAUUUUGCAUCAUUAUUCAUAUAAUAUGUUGCUAAUUGAUUUCCAAUUCAAAGAAAAUGAGUGAGCAGAUGCCAUCAAGACUUCUUUAUAAGUUGGUGAUGUUUAUUUUGUGGUUGUGACGAGUACUUUCCUAGCUCCUACAAUUGUUUUGUAUGUUGAAACAAAAAUGUUUGAUUAUUUAAACUUGAUAUGUAUCCUGGAGGGGAAAUUGUGAUUUGGGCUUUCUUGUACUUGAGCAACAGAGUUUUUGUAAAAGUCUUGCUUAAAAAUGGUGCUUGAGCUGUGUAAUUGAAUGUGACAAUUGAAAACUCCUUUUAUUCUUUCGUCUUCAUUCUUCUCUUAUUAAUCUUUUGAUAUACUCUUCCUCGAAUGUGUUUACUAUUCCUAGUUGUUCAAUUUGUUUUAUAGAUUUCGGUGCUAGGCUACUUUUCAAAGCAUUUUUUGCAGCAAAUUUGGCAUCUAGAUCGACAGUAAUUCCCUCUUAAAUUUGCAUAAAAAAGAAGGUCCACUGAAGGAACAAUUUUGUGGUUACUCUCUUGAAAGAUGGUUUUGGUGAAGUGGGAUCGGGUCUUGUACAGUGGUGCUUUAGUUAGUUUUAGUAUUUAGCAAGAGAUUAUUUUACUUGCCCAUUUACGUGGUAUGGUAUCUUUUGUUAGGGUUCUUUCUAUUUUCUUUAACCUCAUAUGUGGUUAUGCUUUCUGAGGCACCAGUAUGUGCCAUGCUCUAUAAAUUGUGAUUUUAUUGUCUUAUAUUUUCUUUCAUUAUAUAAAAGGAGAUUUUUUUAUCUUGUAGAGACAGCUUUAGAAGUUUUAUUGGGAGCUUGUCUAUAUUCGCCUCCUUACUCUAUCAAGCAUACAUUAUUUGACAUUUUGGUGCUCUUUUGGGCUUAAAAUAGUAUUAAUUGUUAUAUCUAUUCCGUUUGAAUUUGUUCUUUGGAUCUGCAUCAGCUACUAGGUGUUUCAAGCAGUGUGCUUGGAGCAGGUUUUGCAAAUUCUUGCCCGCGGUGCUUGGCAAAGUUGUAGA